CUUAGGAUGAUGCGGUAGAGGAGCGUUCUGUAAGCCUGUGAAGGUGAGUUGAGAAGCUUGCUGGAGGUAUCAGAAGUGCGAAUGCUGACAUGAGUAACGACAAUGGGUGUGAAAAACACCCACGCCGAAAGACCAAGGUUUCCUGCGCAACGUUAAUCGACGCAGGGUUAGUCGGUCCCUAAGGCGAGGCUGAAAAGCGUAGUCGAUGGAAAACAGGUUAAUAUUCCUGUACUUCUGGUUAUUGCGAUGGAGGGACGGAGAAGGCUAGGCCAGCUUGGCGUUGGUUGUCCAAGUUUAAGGUGGUAGGCUGAGAUCUUAGGUAAAUCCGGGAUCUCAAGGCCGAGAGCUGAUGACGAGUUGUCUUU
rnacentral:rRNA from 1 species